ACAGAGGGUGCGAGCGUUAAUCGGAUUUACUGGGCGUAAAGCGCGUGUAGGCGGUACUCUAAGUCCGGGGUGAAAUCCGGGGGCUUAACCCCCGAACAGCGCCGGAAACUGGAGCGCUUGAGUGUCGGAGAGGGGAGUGGAAUUCUCGGUGUAGCGGUGAAAUGCGUAGAGAUCGGGAGGAACACCCGUGGCGAAGGCGGCUCCCUGGCCGAACACUGACGCUGAGACGCGAAAGCGUGGGGAGCGAACGGGA
rnacentral:rRNA from 1 species